GCCAAUUAAGCAGAAGCUUUGCGUUGUCCAAGCCAAGGAGCAGUGCUAUCGUUGGAUUCAAUGGGACAAGGACGCAGCACAUGGCAAACCCAUCGGCCAUCGUGAUAGCGGCGCGGGCGUGCGGUGUUGACGGCAGCGCACGCACGGCGAGUCGGCGGCGAGGCGAGCUCGUGCGUGACGUCUUGCCUUGACGUCAGCCAAGCCACCACCACCACCCCACGAGACGAGAGGAGAGGCGGAGGCCAGUAGGCCAUGUGAGCGAGCUUGUGUGUUGGCCCCCCACUAGGAGGAAGGAGGCGAGGCGCGCAAUUUCUGGGGAGCUGCUACUAGUCCCCCGAUCCGCGAGGGAGGCGAUCGGAUCCCUGGAGAUGGCGACGGCGGCGGAGGAGGCGGUGGCGGUG
rnacentral:lncRNA from 1 species